AAUAAUUAGGAUAUUGUUGGCGCUAAUUUCAUCGUUCGAGAGGGUUGGCGAUAUAUUUAUCUCAUGGUUACCAUUGUACGGAGAAAUGAAAGUGGUAUUUUUCGUAUAUCUCUGGUACCCUAAAACGAAGGGAACGAGACAUGUGUAUGAGACGUUGUUGAAGCCAUA